GAUGAACGUUGGAGGAGGGAAGAAGAAAGGAAAGUCGAGGGAACAGACGAGGAGCUUGGUGAGCUGAAGUUAGCGGCGGACGGGUGAGGAACACGUGGAUAACCGACCUAUAAGACUGGGAUAACUUCGGGAAACCGGAGCUAAUACCGGAUAAUAUAUUGAACCGCAUGGUUCAAUAGUGAAAGACGGUUUUGCUGUCACUUAUAGAUGGAUCCGCGCCGCAUUAGCUAGUUGGUAAGGUAACGGCUGACCAAGGCAACGAUGCGUAGCCGACCUGAGAGGGUGCUCGGCCACACUGGAACUGAGACACGGUCCAGACUCCUCCGGGAGGCAGCAGUAGGGAAUCUUCCGCAAUGGGCGAAAGCCUGACGGAGCAACGCCGCGUGAGUGAUGAAGGUCUUCGGAUCGUAACCCUCUGUUAUUAGGGAAGAACAAAUGUGUAAGUCACUCUGCACGUCUUGACGGUACCUAAUCAGAAAGCCCCGGCUCCCUACGUG
rnacentral:rRNA from 1 species